AUGCCAAAGUAUAUGGGGGGGCUUGGCUUCCGAGACACACAAAUGUUUAAUCUGUCGAUGCUUGCGAAGCAGUCAUGGCGGCUGUUGCAGGAGUCAGAUUCGUUGAGUGCCAAGUUGCUAAAGGCUGUGUACUACCCGGACUGCGAGGUCCUAGAGGCUAAGCUGGGUUUCCAUCCUUCCCAGGUAUGGCGAGCCUUAUGCGCAGGUACAGAGGUUUUGAAGCAAGGCAUAGUUAGGAGGAUUGGCAAUGGUCAAGAUACUAACAUCUGGAACUAA
rnacentral:rRNA from 1 species